GCCGUGGCAAGCUGGAGGUCCCAACCGGGACCUCCCAGGAUAAAGCAGCCUCAGCUUUGGAAUUUAGAAGCACGUCUCGGAAGAAGCCAAGAUAGAGAGAAAUUCCGUGUAUGACAGGAAUGUUCCAGACUCUACAGUCAAAGACUACCUCAGCUCUUUAACUGAGAGUUUCUUAUUAACACCCAACAAGAAAGAAUGGUUCUAAUAAAAAAGACGAGUGUUGGUGAGGAGGUGGAGAAAUUGUAACCUUCCUGCCCUGCCGCUGGGAGUGUCAAGUGGUGCCGCUGCCAUGGAGAACAAUCUGGAGGUUCCUCCGGUGAUUAAAGAUAGAACUUCCGUGCGACCCGGCAGUCCCACUGCCAGGUGGGAACGAAGGCGUGUCUGACAAAACCCACCCGAAAGUGUUCACAGCAGCCAGUGUCCACUGGCUGAUGACGGGUGAACGAAAUGAGCUGUACCAUACAGUGGGAUACGAGCUUAAAGAAGGAAUGAAGCUCUCACACAUACAACACGGUGAGCCUUGAGUGUACAGAGGGACAGCCAGUCACGCAGGGCCGUGCUGGUGACACUGCUGGCAUGGAAGUCUGAGUCGGCUGAUCUGCAGGGACGGAAAGCAGACUAGAGACUUCCAGGGGUGGUGACCGGAGCAGGCGGGAAUGGAGAAGGACUGUUCACAGGCUCUGGGGUUUCUCGGGGGCACUAUGAAAACAUUCUGGAAAUGUGGUGAUGGCAGCACGACCUCACGAAUCUGCAAAAACCUGUUGACUAACACUUGUAAAGUGUGAAAUUUAUGUGCACUUGGAAGCAGUGGAUGAGCGGCUGUUCUCGAGGCUGGAUCCCAUAAGAGACGAGGUUCUGCUGGGUAUGAUGGCAGCUCUCGCCGCCCAAGAGGCAGCCACUGCCACGCGUGGAAACGUGGCUCGUCUGGAGAUUUGCUGUAAGUAUAAGAACUGGAAG